rnacentral:rRNA from 1 species
UACGGAGGGUGCAAGCGUUGUCCGGAUUUAUUGGGUUUAAAGGGUGCGUAGGUGGUUUGAUAAGUCCGGGGUGAAAGCCCACAGCUCAACUGUGGAACUGCCCUGGAUACUGUCAGACUUGAGGGUAGACGAGGUUGGCGGAAUAGAAGGUGUAGCGGUGAAAUGCAUAGAUACCUUCUAGAACCCCGAUUGCGUAGGCAGCUGACUAGGCUACACCUGACACUGAGGCACGAAAAGCGUGGGGAGCGAACAGG